ensembl:lncRNA
GACUCCCUUCCGCCAUUCUGCCCAUCAGCACCAAGUUAGGGUCCUGACCUCAUUUGGAGUCAGUCCUCUGUUCAAACCCCUUUGGCGGCUCCCACUGCUAAAUGUCUGAAGAGGCAUGGUUUGUCCCACAGUCCAGGUCACCGCAGAAUGACCCUCACCUCCAACAGGAGCCUGUCUCUCGCCCCUCCCUGCAGCCCACCACAUCUUGCUCCACCAGCCUCUGCACCUUCGCUCGUGCUGUGCCUCUUCUUGGGAUGCACUGGCUCCAUCACGGCCUGAGUCAACCCCACUAUUUGUCCUCUCGGUCACACAGCCCUUCUGGACUGCUCUGUCUUCUGAAUGAAGUGGCUCCUGCCGGUCCUUACCUAAGAGCACUUCUGUAUUUCAUGCCCCAGCUGUAGCACCGUGGUCAAGCCGCUUGCCCCAACUGUUAAAUUGCUAGAGACACUGAACUGAUGAAUCCUCACUUUGCAACUGCUGUGACCCUGAGCAAAUCCCAGGCCAGGACCACAAGGAGAUUGCACGGGAGGAGGAUGGAUGAGGGUAGCAGCCAAGUGGACUCCAGCUGGGAGGAGAAGCACCAUGGGACCCCGCAUCCGAUGGGCUCCAUCCACAGCUCCUCACGGGCUUGUCGCCUGCCCCCAGCAAAACCCGGCCUCAUUCCAAGUCCUCCAAGACUCUCAUCCUGCUCCUCCUUUCAACUCUGCUCCAGCCACACGGGACCACCUGAGCUACACAUUCAUUCCACCCUCUCAUUAGCACCCAAGCCUUUGCCUGGGCUGUUCCCUAUGCUUAGAAGCCCCACCAACCCCACCCCCCGGCCACUGCCAUCCAGCUGAUGUAAUUCCACUACCAGCCCCUGCAGAUGCUACAUGUCCGGGGUGGAUUAUGUGCCCCUCCUCCACCUCCCUGGGGCCUGCCUUCACCCUCCUGGCCUGUCUUAAAAUGUAGGUUUUAUUGUCAUUCAGGUAUGUGGCGGCCAACAGGUCAGGAGAUGAUCACCACUGAAAAAAAAAUAGUUUGUUACUCAUGGAUCCCAAGAGGAAGGGGCCCACCAGGCCACAGGGGGCCACAUGAGGAAGCACCAGGGUUGGUCAAGAG